rnacentral:rRNA from 1 species
AGUGAACGCUGGCGGUAGGCCUAACACAUGCAAGUCGAACGGCAGCACAGGAGAGCUUGCUCUCUGGGUGGCGAGUGGCGGACGGGUGAGGAAUACAUCGGAAUCUACUCUGUCGUGGGGGAUAACGUAGGGAAACUUACGCUAAUACCGCAUACGACCUACGGGUGAAAGCAGGGGAUCUUCGGGCCUUGCGCGAUUGAAUGAGCGGAGGUCGGAUUAGCUAGUUGGCGGGGUAAAGGCCCACCAAGGCGACGAUCCGUAGCUGGUCUGAGAGGAUGAUCAGCCACACUGGAACUGAGACACGGUCCAGACUCCUACGGGAGGCAGCAGUGGGGAAUAUUGGACAAUGGGCGCAAGCCUGAUCCAGCCAUACCGCGUGGGUGAAGAAGGCCUUCGGGUUGUAAAGCCCUUUUGUUGGGAAAGAAAUCCAGCUGGCUAAUACCCGGUUGGGAUGACGGUACCCAAAGAAUAAGCACCGGCUAACUUCGUGCCAGCAGCCGCAGUAA